rnacentral:lncRNA from 1 species
AAAAGUCAAUUUAAAAGUAAAAAAUAUACCUGUAAGAAAAUAUCCGGCACAAAAAUCUCAGCGGAAAAUAAAUAUCGUGUUUUCGAAAAACAAAAAUCCAUAUCACAUAUGAACCAAAAUAAAACAAAUCAAUCCAGUGCCGGUGGAUCAUUCUCAUGUUGCAAUGUAAAAUAAAAUUUAACCUAAACAGAUUUAAAGUUCAGGUUACAUUACCUCGGACCAGUUAAGGUCUCUUGAUCUACUGUAUUAACUGGUCACUUGAUCUACUGUACGGUUGAAACUGAAAUUCCGAUCAGCCGCACACGUGCCCGGCCUCUACGCGUAUCCACACGGAAUUGAUCCAGAUCCAAUGCUUUCCGUCGCACGGAAUAGAUGAGUCGCGGAUUACAAAGACGGUGCUAGCAGUCUCGUGAUAUCCACGUUCGCCUUUUGUGAGAUGUACUGAUUUUUUUGGAAAAAUUAGAGAGAGAUGGAUGAUCUAAUAUUUCUCAAGAGGCUAUUAUUAAAUUCCUCUCGUAAAAG